GCAUAUCAAUAAGCGGAGGAAAAGAAACCAACAGGGAUUGCCCUAGUAACGGCGAGUGAAGCGGCAACAGCUCAAAUUUGAAAUCUGGCGCAAGCCCGAGUUGUAAUUUGUAGAGGAUGCUUCUGGCCAGCGGCCGUUCUAAGUUCCUUGGAACAGGACGUCAUAGAGGGUGAGAAUCCCGUAUGUGACCGGCGCGCAGCCUGUACGUAGCUCCUUCGACGAGUCGAGUUGUUUGGGAAUGCAGCUCUAAAUGGGAGGUAAAUUUCUUCUAAAGCUAAAUACCGGCCAGAGACCGAUAGCGCACAAGUAGAGUGAUCGAAAGAUGAAAAGCACUUUGGAAAGAGAGUUAAAAAGCACGUGAAAUUGUUGAAAGGGAAGCGCUUGCAACCAGACUUCGUAGCGGUGUUCCGCCGGUCUUCUGACCGGUCUACUCAUCGUCGCGAGGCCAACAUCGUCUGGGACCGCUGGAUAAGACCUAAGGAAUGUAGCUUCCCUCGGGAAGUGUUAUAGCCUGUGGUGAUGCAGCGCGUCUCGGGCGAGGUCCGCGCUUCGGCAAGGAUGUUGGCGUAAUGGUUGUCAGCGGCCCGUCUUGAAACACGGACCAAGGAGUCUAACAUCUAUGCGAGUGUUCGGGUGUCAAACCCCUACGCGUAAUGAAAGUGAACGGAGGUGGGAAGCGCAAGCUGCACCAUCGACCGAUCCUGAUGUCCUCGGAUGGAUUUGAGUAAGAGCAUAGCUGUUGGGACCCGAAAGAUGGUGAACUAUGCCUGAAUAGGGUGAAGCCAGAGGAAACUCUGGUGGAGGCUCGCAGCGGUUCUGACGUGCAAAUCGAUCGUCAAAUUUGGGUAUAGGGGCGAAAGACUAAUCGAACCAUCUAGUAGCUGGUUCCUGCG
rnacentral:rRNA from 1 species